rnacentral:rRNA from 1 species
GCGAAUGCUGACAUAAGUAACGAUAAAGCGGGUGAAAAGCCCGCUCGCCGGAAGACCAAGGGUUCCUGUCCAACGUUAAUCGGGGCAGGGUGAGUCGACCCCUAAGGCGAGGCCGAAAGGCGUAGUCGAUGGGAAACAGGUUAAUAUUCCUGUACUUGGUGUUACUGCGAAGGGGGGACGGAGAAGGCUAUGUUGGCCGGGCGGCGGUUGUCCCGGUUUAAGCGUGUAGGCUGGUUUUCCAGGCAAAUCCGGAAAAUCAAGGCUGAGGCGUGAUGACGAGGCACUACGGUGCUGAAGCAACAAAUGCCCUGCUUCCAGGAAAAGCCUCUAAGCAUCAGGUAACAUCAAAUCGUACCCCAAACCGACACAGGUGGUCAGGUAGAGAAUACCAAGGCGCUUGAGAGAACUCGGGUGAAGGAACUAGGCAAAAUGGUGCCGUAACUUCGGGAGAAGGCACGCUGAUAUGUAGGUGAAGCGACUUGCUCGUGGAGCUGAAAUCAGUCGAAGAUACCAGCUGGCUGCAACUGUUUAUUAAAAACACAGCACUGUGCAAACACGAAAGUGGACGUAUACGGUGUGACGCCUGCCCGGUGCCGGAAGGUUAAUUGAUGGGGUUAGCGCAAGCGAAGCUCUUGAUCGAAGCCCCGGUAAACGGCGGCCGUAACUAUAACGGUCCUAAGGUAGCGAAAUUCCUUGUCGGGUAAGUUCCGACCUGCACGAAUGGCGUAAUGAUGGCCAGGCUGUCUCCACCCGAGACUCAGUGAAAUUGAACUCGCUGUGAAGAUGCAGUGUACCCGCGGCAAGACGGAAAGACCCCGUGAACCUUUACUAUAGCUUGACACUGAACAUUGAGCCUUGAUGUGUAGGAUAGGUGGGAGGCUUAGAAGUGUGGACGCCAGUCUGCAUGGAGCCGACCUUGAAAUACCACCCUUUAAUGUUUGAUGUUCUAACGUUGACCCGUAAUCCGGGUUGCGGACAGUGUCUGGUGGGUAGUUUGACUGGGGCGGUCUCCUCCUAAAGAGUAACGGAGGAGCACGAAGGUUGGCUAAUCCUGGUCGGACAUCAGGAGGUUAGUGCAAUGGCAUAAGCCAGCUUGACUGCGAGCGUGACGGCGCGAGCAGGUGCGAAAGCAGGUCAUAGUGAUCCGGUGGUUCUGAAUGGAAGGGCCAUCGCUCAACGGAUAAAAGGUACUCCGGGGAUAACAGGCUGAUACCGCCCAAGAGUUCAUAUCGACGGCGGUGUUUGGCACCUCGAUGUCGGCUCAUCACAUCCUGGGGCUGAAGUAGGUCCCAAGGGUAUGGCUGUUCGCCAUUUAAAGUGGUACGCGAGCUGGGUUUAGAACGUCGUGAGACAGUUCGGUCCCUAUCUGCCGUGGGCGCUGGAGAACUGAGGGGGGCUGCUCCUAGUACGAGAGGACCGGAGUGGACGCAUCACUGGUGUUCGGGUUGUCAUGCCAAUGGCACUGCCCGGUAGCUAAAUGCGGAAGAGAUAAGUGCUGAAAGCAUCUAAGCACGAAACUUGCCCCGAGAUGAGUUCUCCCUGACUCCUUGAGAGUCCUGAAGGAACGUUGAAGACGACGACGUUGAUAGGCCGGGUGUGUAAGCGCAGCGAUGCGUUGAGCUAACCGGUACUAAUGAACCGUGAG